AAGGAUUUAAGUUAAGUAAAACUAAAAGCCUUCAAAGCUUUAAAUAAAGAUGUCUUUAAGCCUUA
rnacentral:tRNA from 1 species